GCAGUAGCCGCGGUAAAACAGAGGGUGCGAGCGUUAAUCGGAUUUACUGGGCGUAAAGCGUGCGUAGGCGGCUUUUUAAGUCGGAUGUGAAAUCCCUGAGCUUAACUUAGGAAUUGCAUUCGAUACUGGGAAGCUAGAGUAUGGGAGAGGAUGGUAGAAUUCCAGGUGUAGCGGUGAAAUGCGUAGAGAUCUGGAGGAAUACCGAUGGCGAAGGCAGCCAUCUGGCCUAAUACUGACGCUGAGGUACGAAAGCAUGGGGAGCAAACAGGAUUAGAUACCCCGGUAGUCCCUGUCUCUUAUAC
rnacentral:rRNA from 1 species